rnacentral:tRNA from 1 species
GCCAGAAGUCUGACAAUUGUUGAGGCUCACCCCUUUGAUACUGUUGAGUUCUUCCCAGACUCAAAAUCUGUUGCCCGCAAGGGCGUGCUGGUUCGAGUCCGGCCUGGGGCACCA